rnacentral:lncRNA from 1 species
GAUGCAAUUUUUGUCAAAUUUUGGGAGCUCAUAUUUUGUUAACGCAUGAAAGUAAAAAAUAUCUCUUUUAGGACAAGAAAGCCUGUUCGCUAGCGUAACGAAUGCAUGCAAAAAUCUUGUUCUGAAACACUUGGUUAUAUAUAUUUUUUACCAUGAAAAAUUGUUCAAAUUCGUGCGAAAUGCUCGCGAAAAUGAGUGAUUUUGAAACGUGAAUAUCUUAUUCAUUUCUCAAUGAAAAUUCAUGUUGUUGGUCUCAUUCGACAGCUAAACCCUUUCUUGUUUCGAUGUUAAUUUGUCAAAAUUUACACAAAUCUGGAAAUAGAUGAUUUUUAGCUCAGAAGUGACAGACCGUAAUACCGGUAUAACAAUGAUGCGCCAUUUGCAAAGUUGCAACUUUCAACCGUCGUAGUUUUCUAAUGCAUGGAUUUAAAAAAUAUCUGCUUUAGAAUCAGAAAGCCAGUUACCUGGCCUCAUAAAUGCAUGCAAAGAUUUUGUUCCAAAUCAUUUGGUCUAGCAGAUUUUUAACUCUGAAAAAAGUGACGGAAUUCGUCAAAACAGGCACGAAAAUGAGUGAUUUUCAGACGUGAAUAUCUUAUUCAAUCUUCGAUGUAAAUUCGUGUUCUUGGUCUCAUUCUAUAGCUAAACCCUUUCUUGUUUUAUGAUAAUUGUGUCAUAAUUUACAAUCUUAGGGAAAGACUUAAUUUCUAGCUCAGAAAAGACAGACCACGGUAAACAACAAAAUGGCCGCUCCGUGACAACAAAGGUACAUGUUUGGGCGAUAAUUCUGCAAAAAGUAAACAAGAUACGCAACUGACAAUUUGAUACCACAAAGACAAAUGUCUCCGCUUUACAAUGAGACCAUUUUCGGCUUUCUGCGAUCAGAAUUGACAUCAAAACAUCGAUUUCAAAUUGCCCUGUCGUUCACCAUCUCCGCACUUUUUCUGGAAACCCAAGUCUAAAAUUAGACCGUAUUUUCCGAAAUCUGGGCGGUGACCUGGGUCACGUGGGGUCAAACGUGAGGUCAAACUAGGUUCAGCAAGGAGCGGGAGUAAUGGCUUUGCGCGCGAACGUAUUUCUGUGGAAUAAAAUCAUUUUCUUGUGCUUGCAGAUGGAGGGAGCUGAACAAUCUUUAUGACAAAUUACGUCUCAGAAUGUCUGCCGUCGAAAACUACCAAGGAUGGACUGGGAUGGCAAUAACAGGAGACAAAAUCUGCAUGCAAAGCACUGUGAUGUGAUUUGUACAGGCCAAGAUGUCUCAAGUUUUACAAGCAUAUUGAAGUUUUGUGUGACAGAUUUUCCACAGCAAAAAAAUAAGAGCAUUGUUGUGAAGUGGUGACCUGCCAAAGAUGUUACAGCAGUGGUGUGUGACAAAACGAGCUCACAGUGUUGUCUACAUUUUUGAUGACAGAACAGUGAUGUGUGCUUUUUAUUUUCGAAGAAGCAAAGAGAUAGACUCUGAUGUAUUUCGUAUUAACGUGUAUUGUUUUCUUCUGUUGAUAUCUGCCCGUACAAGAGGCAAUGCCCGUAAAAGAGGCACUACUAUUGCUUGAGUUUGCUUUUUCAUUUAUCAAUAGUAACAACAGUCACUGUAGAAAAGUACUCCGAGAUGAAGGUUUGGUAUGUUUGUCUGUAUCAGGAGUCUUAUAGCCUCUCCUGUCUGUCCGAAUUUAUACUAUGCCGACUUGUUUGCCGGGUACACUGUCCAUACCCAAUACUAAAAGAUAAGGGUAUUCACCAGUGUGAAUGAACAAGUUCACUCACGCUGGUUGUACCUUUGCUUAUUUAGUGUACUUAUCAGACAAGUUUGGCCUUUAACAUCUCGGAGAAAUAUCAUACAUCAAGUAAGGAUCGUUGGCAAAUACAACGUGACACGUUAGGAAAAAUACAGUCAAACUGAAAAACUUUUCAUAGAAUCUUACUUUUGAGAUAUUAGAUAAGGCGGAUAGUACUUCGAAACUUCAACACGUAAAAAAAACUGAUUUCUGAAAUACAACAUGACACGUUAGGAAAAAUACAGUCAAAUUGAAAAACUUCUCAUAGAAUAUUACUUGUGAGAUAUUAGAUAAGGCGUAUAGUACUUCGAAAUUUCAACACGUUGUGAAACAAAACUCAUUUCUGACUGAUCAUUUUUGCUUUCCUGAACGUCUCAUUUUUUGUAUUUGCCACGAGCCUUUAUAUCCAGCUACAUUCCAUUGCAUCGAAAUGCAGACAAACCUCUGAUACUCUUUUUACAAUGCAUCGUCUCAAUGCAAAUAAAGCGAUAACUCUUGCAUACGUAAGAAUGACAGAGUUACCUCUUUUAGAAAAAAAACCUGCAAAAAGAUCUGUGAAAACCAUUACAAAAUGCCUCUCAAUAAGACUCUUAUCAAAAUAUCAGAAUGCCAAAACAUGACCAUAAGGCUAUAUGAUAGCGAACGUUACUCAGAGAUUUGAAAUGCUUUUCGAUGCAAUGGUAUGAUGUUGGAAUUUUUUCCUAGUCCUUACAUGGUGUUGAGCAUUUUUUCCUAGUCCCUUGUUUGGAUUUCUGAUCGGCAUGGGUUAAGUGUCAAUGUUGGUUGUAAUCACCCGACUCUAUAUUUGGCGAGGCAGCGAAGCCGGUAUAGGGAAUUGCUUAACCCGACGCUGCGAGGAUUCAUGGACAGGGAUUAAAUGCUCUUGCCCCGCCAAAGGGAAGCACGACGUUCCUCUAAUGAGAUGUGCGAAUACACUCUUUGGUUGCCUAACU